UACGUAGGGUGCAAGCGUUAAUCGGAAUUACUGGGCGUAAAGCGUGCGCAGGCGGUUUUGUAAGUCUGUCGUGAAAGCCCCGGGCUCAACCUGGGAAUUGCGAUGGAGACUGCAAGGCUUGAAUCUGGCAGAGGGGGGUAGAAUUCCACGUGUAGCAGUGAAAUGCGUAGAGAUGUGGAGGAACACCGAUGGCGAAGGCAGCACCCUGGGGUAACACUGACGCUCAUGCACGAAAGCGUGGGGAGCAAACAGG
rnacentral:rRNA from 1 species